UUACACCUUUAUUACAGCUUCUGAAAACAAAAUUUAGAGGAUAAUGCUUAAAAAAUGUUGGUAGAAGAUUUCACAAUUAGCCAAUACUCUUAAGUUUAGGCCUGUAAGAUUUCUAAUUAGUGAUUUGUUCCUCACAUCUUAGGGUAAUGGAGCAAAUACAUGGUAAAAGCUGUUUUUAAAAUUCUUCCCAAGAACAAACAUACCAUGUAUGAAAACAAUCCUUUGCUACAUUGACAAGAUAGAUUCCAAGAGAGCUUCAUAUUAUAUCAAGGUGAAGUCAGGAAGACCAUAAACAGACUGUAGAAGGUCUUGGUGAAAAACAUUCAAAUUUCUUUCAUUGGUAUGCCCAAAGGUACGUGUAGCCAAACCAUAACUCAUCUUUUUCUGAACAGACUUGAUGUGUUUUGUGGAAACUGUUUUUGAAUAAAAAGAGUCUUCAGACUGGGGGCAAAAAAACCUUUCAACAUUUUUGCAGUUACACAAAGAAUUGCAUGAGGCACUCAGCACAUUCAGUUUGGUCAGCAAUUCAGUUAAUCCUUUGGCAACUGACUUGUGUUUUAUCCCCCAUAUGGCUCUGUUUUGAAAAGAAUUAUCUCAUUUUCUAGUCAUUCUCUUAUCUCAUCUGCAAUGUCAAUUAUCUGAAUAAAACAUCUUAAGUAUGAUGCAAAUAGGCAGAGCUGUUUCCCCUUCUGAGUCAUAGUUAUAGCUCUGCUUUUGUGUAAUUAAUUGGGAGAUAAAAUUAAAUUUUAAAUAGGAAGUCAAAACUAAAGAUGCCCACUUUUACCAUCAGCUCAACUGAACAAAGCUUUGUUUUUUUAUAUUAACAAGCGUAUAGCAUGGCUCCAGAGACCCAAUCCCAGCAAGGUUUAUGUAACUCCUUUUUAAGAAUGCUGUGGAGCGGAUUUGUUUAGGCUGGAGUCCUGGGGCAGUGUAAUGAGCCCUGUCUCUGGAGAUCCAAAUUCUAAUCUUCAUCUCUCACUAUCUGGAGUGGGACUCUUAGGCAGGUAAUGUGUUUUCUGGGCAUGAAUUUUCUUAUCAAAAAUCAAUACAAAGGAUAUUUGGAUUUCUAGAAUCUCUUGUGAUAUGCCUAAGUAUUGUCAUACCUAAGAUUAGGAACUCAAUUUGGAUGGAAGAAAUAUUGGACUCUUUCUCAUGGACUCUUCCUCAAAUUCAUC
rnacentral:lncRNA from 1 species